rnacentral:rRNA from 1 species
GUGAGGAAUAUUGGACAAUGGGCGCAAGCCUGAUCCAGCCAUGCCGCGUGCAGGAAGACGCAUCUAUGGUGUGUAAACUGCCUUUGUACGGGAAGAAACACUCCCUCGUGAGGGAGCUUGACGGUACCGUAAGAAUAAGGAUCGGCUAACUCCGUGCCAGCAGCCGCGGUAAUACGGAGGAUCCAAGCGUUAUCCGGAAUCAUUGGGUUUAAAGGGUCCGUAGGCGGUUUAAUAAGUCAGUGGUGAAAGCCCAUCGCUCAACGAUGGAACGGCCAUUGAUACUGUUAGACUUGAAUUACAAGGAAGUAACUAGAAUAUGUAGUGUAGCGGUGAAAUGCUUAGAUAUUACAUGGAAUACCAAUUGCGAAGGCAGGUUACUACUUGUGGAUUGACGCUGAUGGACGAAAGCGUGGGGAGCGAACAGGAUUAGAUACCCUGGUAGUCC